GAGGGCCGAAGCUGAUUCGGUUACCUUCUGAUAAAAGGGCCUUCUGGGUUCGAAUCCCAGCCGCUCCA
rnacentral:tRNA from 2 species